UUCUGUGUACGUCCGCAUCCCUUAGGGGACAA
rnacentral:sRNA from 1 species